UACAGAGGGGGCAAGCGUUGUUCGGAAUUACUGGGCGUAAAGGGCGCGUAGGCGGCCCUCUAAGUCAGACGUGAAAUCCCUCGGCUCAACCGGGGAACUGCGUCCGAUACUGGAUGGCUUGGAUUUGGGAGAGGGAUGCGGAAUUCCAGGUGUAGCGGUGAAAUGCGUAGAUAUCUGGAGGAACACCGGUGGCGAAGGCGGCAUCCUGGACCAAUAUUGACGCUGAGGAGCGAAAGCCAGGGGAGCAAACGGG
rnacentral:rRNA from 1 species